rnacentral:ribozyme from 1 species
GUGAAAAUAUGAUGAUGGAGAAGAAGAAAAAGAAGAAGAAGAAGAAGAAACGGAAAGUAACGUAAAAAGUAAUAUAUAUAUAUAUGUUAUUAUUGUAAUAUGGUUGGAAUAUCGCGAAACCCAUUCUCUUUUUUCUAAUUUUUGAUAUAUAUAUAUAUA